AGUGAACGCUGGCGGCAGGCCUAACACAUGCAAGUCGAACGGCAGCACAGGAAGCGCUCGCUCCUGCCGGUGGCGAGUGGCGGACGGGUGAGGAAUACAUCGGAAUCUACUUUUUCGUGGGGGAUAUCGGAAGGCCACUGACGCUAAUACCGCAUACAACCUACGGGUGAAAGCAGUGGAUCAUCGCACCUUGCGCGAUUGAAUGAGCCGAUGCCGGAUUAGCUAGUUGGCAGGGUAAAGGCCCACCAAGGCGACGAUCCGUAGCGGACCUGAGAGGAUGAUCAGCCACACUGGAACUGAGACACGGUCCAGACUCCUACGGGAGGCAGCAGUGGGGAAUAUUGGGCAAUGGGCGCAAGCCUGAUCCAGCCAUACCGCGUGGGUGAAGAAGGCCUUCGGGUUGUAAAGCCCUUUUGUUGGGAAAGAAAAGCAGCAGAUUAAUACCCCGCUGUUCUGACGGUACCCAAAGAGUAAGCACCGGCUAACUUCGUG
rnacentral:rRNA from 1 species